AUCCCUGUUCAUCAGGUGUGUUAUUUUGUAAUAAUUACGGCAGGAAAUGGAACAACUCUGGAUUAAUGAUAGAUGGAAUGGUGGCACAUCUAGCAAAGAAACAGGACUUUCUGUGGGAUGGAAGCAAUGCUGAUGGAUGGGUUUAUCCGCCAUCCAGCUUGAAGGCCCUUUUAAAGCUGUAUUUAAAGGUAUCAGAUGAAGACCACUUGAUUGAUUGUACUCUUCUUUAUUUCCUCCUGGAUGUUUCACAUUUUGAUC